rnacentral:lncRNA from 1 species
AUAAGUUUGCACAUUAGCCAGAAAUUUCUUACUCACUCCUAUAUGGAAGCAACUAAGCAACAUGAAAACUUCUGUUGUCCAUGUGAAUUGGUUUGCUGCAUGAAUGAAGAAUUUGCUAACAAGGCAGCAGAUUCAUUAGCUAACAAUAGGAGGAAAGUUGAUGAUUUCUGCAUCUGGUUUUGAGGAUCAGAGAAUAUUAGAUUACCCAUGAAAAAUGCUAAUUUAACAUGGAAAUUUCACCUAUAAG